UGGGGAAUAUUGCGCAAUGGGCGAAAGCCUGACGCAGCCACGCCGCGUGAGUGAUGAAGGCCUUCGGGUUGUAAAGCUCUGUCGGAGGGGAAGAACAAAUGACGGUACCCUCCAAGAAAGCACCGGCUAACUCCGUGCCAGCAGCCGCGGUAAUACGGAGGGUGCAAGCGUUGCUCGGAAUCACUGGGCGUAAAGCGUACGCAGGCGGUGCGUUAAGUCGGGUGUGAAAGCCCAGGGCUCAACCCUGGAAGUGCACUCGAAACUGGCGCGCUAGAGUAUAGGAGAGGGAAGCGGAAUUCCUGGUGUAGAGGUGAAAUUCGUAGAUAUCAGGAGGAACAUCAGUGGCGAAAGCGGCUUCCUGGCCUAUAACUGACGCUCAUGUACGAGAGCGUGGGGAGCAAACAGG
rnacentral:rRNA from 1 species